AUUGAACGCUGGCGGCAUGCCUUACACAUGCAAGUCGAACGGCAGCGGGCCUUCGGGUGCCGGCGAGUGGCGAACGGGUGAGUAAUGCAUCGGAACGUGCCAUUGAGUGGGGGAGUAACGUAGCGAAAGUUAACGCUAAUACCGCAUAUUCUGUGAGCAGGAAAGACAGGGGACCGGCAAGGCCUUGCGCUCUUUGAGCGGCCGAUGUCAGAUUAGCUAGUUGGUGAGGUAAAGGCUUACCAAGGCGACGAUCUGUAGCGGGUCUGAGAGGAUGAUCCGCCACACUGGAACUGAGACACGGUCCAGACUCCUACGGGAGGCAGCAGUGGGGGAAUUUUGGACAAUGGGCGCAAGCCUGAUCCAGCCAUGCCGCGUGAGUGAAG
rnacentral:rRNA from 1 species